AGCUACUUCGAGACAGCUUAUUAAUUAGAGCACACCCGUCUCUGUUGCAAAAGAGUGGGAAGAUCUCCAAGUAGUAGUGACAAACCUAUCGAGUCUGGUUAUAGCUGGUUGCUCGGUAGAUGAAUAUAAGUUCAGCCCCCAGGCAUCUACAACCCAAAAAAGGCCCCGCCUAUUACAGACCAAAGAAGCCCGAGGAGUUAGUCAAAAGAGGUCCAGCUCUUUUGACAAAAGAGUCAACUUUAAGGUGAGGAUAGGAAUCAUAAUACAAAAGGGCAGUACCAAAGUGGGCCUAAAAGCAGCCA
rnacentral:rRNA from 1 species